rnacentral:tRNA from 1 species
GCCGGGGUGGCUCAGCUGGCGGAGCGUCGGACUCAUAGGGGCCCUCCUGGGAAAUCCGAAGGUCGCGGGUUCGAAUCCCGCCCCCGGCA